AUUAUAAUUCCACAAUUCCGUGGGAUCCUAACUUUCCAUCAGAUUUUGAAAUAGAGGACACCAAAUUUUUUGACGGUGGAAAUUUUAAAAACGACGAAGAGAAACAAAGGCAACUGGGAUGCUUCAGAUUUUUUAAUGAGGCGUUCCCAUUUUUCAUUCCGAUGGAGCACCACAGAAUGUCUGUCGAAGGAAUUAUGAAACGAAGCCCAAAAGGACAAUACUGGGGAGUGGCAAUUCACUUUUUAAUCAGCAUCAAGGGCCAUGGCGCGACAAUUUGGAACGAAUUUCAGAGACAAUUACGACACGAAGAAAUUUCUUGCCAUCCAUACAUUUCAGAUACAACUAGGUUAAAGCUUCUUCCAAAUGGAGCUCCGCAGUGUAAUAGCAGUGAAGAUUAUUUCUUUGAGCCUGCUUUACUUCUCCAAAUUCCACGUGAACUGAAUUUAUUACAUCAGUGGCUUGCAGCUGCUCUUGCCAUAACUUUAGACUUUGAAAGAGAACUAACAGAAUUUUACUGUCGUCCAUUUCCAAAAGAGUUUAGCAAGGAAGUCAAUAUUU